AUGCACAAAGCCGUGGUGGACGCUGGACUCACCACCAAACUGCUCACGGUCAGUCUCGGGAUGUUGGUGGAUCUGUGCACAAUUCUGAGUGUUGUAGUUAUUCAGAAGAUAAUCACUGAUGGAAACCUCUCUCACUCUCUCCCCCUCCACUCUCCCCCUUCUCCUCUCCACCUCUCUCCCCCUCCACUCUCUCCCCCCCACUCUCUCCCCUCCUCCCUCGCUCCACUCUUCCCCUCUCCUCCCCUCCCUUCCUUCUCCCUCUCCUCUCUCUCCCUCUCCCUCGCUCCCCCCUCCUUCUCCCUCGCUCGCUCCCCCUUCUCCCCUCUCGCCCUCGCUCUCCUCCCCUUCUCCCUCGCUCUCCGCUCCCCCUCCCUUCUCCCUCGCUCCUCCGCUCCCCCUCCCCUUCUCCCUCGCUCCCUCGCUCCCCCUCCCCUUCUCCCUCGCUCCUCGCUCCCCCUCCCCUCUCCUUCUCCCUCGCUCUCUCUCUCCCCCUCCCUUCUCCCUCUCUCCUCUCCCCCCUCCCCUCUCCUCCCUCUCUCCCCUCUUCCCCUCGCUCUCUCUCCCCUCCCCUUCUCCCUCGCUCUCUCUCCCCCUCCCCUUCUCCCUCGCUCUCUCUCUCCGCUCCCCCCUCCCUUCUCCCUCGCUCUCUCUCUCCCCUCCCUUCUCCCUCGCUCUCUCUCUCCCCCUCGCCCUUCGCCCUCGCCUCUCUCUCCCCCUCCCCUUCUCCUCGCUCUCUCUCUCCCCCUCACCCCUCUCCCUCGCUCUCUCCUCCCCCCUCCCUUUCCCACUCUCUCUCUCUCCCCCUCCACUCUCUCUCCUCCCCCUCCACUCUCCUCUCCUCUCCCCUCCACUCUCUCUCCUCCCCCCCACUCUCUCUCUCUCCCCCCCACUCUCUCUCUCUCAGGAGACCGAUCUGAAGAAGACGGUGAUGAGAGCGCCAGGAUCCGCCGGGCCUACAGCCACUACUUUGACCGAGCCACGUUAACGACAACCUGGACAAAGGCUUUGAGCAGCUGCAGGCGGCCGUGGAGCAGCUGUGUUCUGAGCCCAGUGGGUCCCUGUUCAGCUGGGUGUACUGAGAGACACAGCCUGGUUAGGCUGCUCCCUACUGGGCUGGAGGACACGCCGCCCGCUGCUGGGCCCAGGAGCACAUGGAGACUUGGAAGAGUUGUCCCUAACAACCACGGUUGGGGUCAAUUUAAUUCUGAAUUUCAGGAAGUAGAUGAACACAAUUCCACAUUUUUCCCAUUGAGGAAAAGUGGAAUGUCAGUGAACUUCCAAAUUGACUGA
rnacentral:lncRNA from 1 species